GGGGAUUAGUCAGGCAAGGAUUGGCCGAUCUUGUGUCUUCAGAUGAUAUAGUCCGAUGCAUGUUUGAUGUAGGCUAUAUAGCUGGAUUUUGGAUGUGUCAGGAUCGAAUCAAGAGGGCCUUCCUGGGGCUUGAUCUCUCCACAUAUCUCCUGAAGGUGAUGCUGGUCCCUCUACUACUCAGGAUAGGUCCAGGGGCAUGGAGAUCCGUGAGCUGGGCUCUGAUGGAAAGGAGAUCCAUGUGUAAGUUUUCGAUGAAGUUUCAAAGAUUGGGGCUCAUCGUAG
rnacentral:lncRNA from 1 species